GACGAACGCUGGCGGCGUGCUUAACACAUGCAAGUCGAACGGAAAGGCCCUGCUUUUGUGGGGUGCUCGAGUGGCGAACGGGUGAGUAACACGUGAGUAACCUGCCCUUGACUUUGGGAUAACUUCAGGAAACUGGGGCUACUACCGGAUAGGAGCUCCUGCUGCAUGGUGGGGGUUGGAAAGUUUCGGCGGUUGGGGAUGGACUGGCGGCUUAUCAGCUUGUUGGUGGGGUAGUGGCUUACCAAGGCUUUGACGGGUAGCCGGCCUGAGAGGGUGACCGGCCACAUUGGGACUGAGAUACGGCCCAGACUCCUACGGGAGGCAGCAGUGGGGAAUAUUGCACAAUGGGCGGAAGCCUGAUGCAGCAACGCCGCGUGCGGGAUGACGGCCUUCGGGUUGUAAACCGCUUUCGCCUGUGACGAAGCGUGAGUGACGGUAAUGGGUAAAGAAGCACCGGCUAACUACGUG
rnacentral:rRNA from 1 species